CUAAGCAGCAAAGCAUUCAAGAGAUGACUUGGGUGCUGUUAAAGGCCCUCAGUUUUAUAAGGGAAGCAGAGCAUAAAAGUUUGGAAGAUUUGCAGCCUGACAAUGCAAUAGAAAAGAAAAUCCCAUUUUCUCAAGAAAAAUUCGAUCUGGCUGCAGAAGUUUGUUUAAGUAACGAGGAGUCAAAUGUGAAUCUCCAAGACAAUGGGGAAAAUGUCUCCAGGGCAUGUCACAGAGCUUCAUGGCAGCCCCUCCCAUCAAAGGCCCAGAGGGCUAGGAAGAAAGAUGGUUUUGUGGACUGGACCCAGAGCCCCCCUGCUGUGAGCAGCCUCGGGCGC
rnacentral:lncRNA from 1 species